AAAAAAAAAAAAGUAAAAUAAAAUAAUUUUUUGACAAAAAUAGAGUGUUUAUUAAGAUGGUUAAAACAAAUAUAUAAUUGUAUUGCUAAGGAGUUUAAGUAGUGCCUAGUAUUUGUAUAUUUGUUUUUAGGCAUUUAUUUAUAUAUAUGUUUUUACAUAUUUUUUUAUAUAUUUAUUUACAUAUACUAUAUAUUAUACACUAUACACGUAUAUAUAUAUAUACAUGUGUUAGUUCGAAUUAGUAGACACAUAAACCUUAUCUAAAUUGCUAAGUCUUAAUCUUCUUUGACUCUCCAGUUCAAUUAUAAAAUCCCAGUGGUUUUUACUUAUAGUAUGACACCCAUCUGAAAAGGCUAAAAUCCUUGUCAUACAUAUAUAUGAGUUUAAAACAAAUUGGUUUAUUUCUUUGUGUUUUUGUCUUAAGUUAACAAAUGUAUCAGUAAUAUAUUUUGUUAUAUCUGGAGUAAAUUUUGCACAGUGUGUUUUUGAUAAUAUAUAAUUUAUGUAUCUUCUAAAUUGCAUUAAUUCCAAUUUAUUUGGUUUAUAAUUUGUAUAAGUAUUUAUAAAAUCGGUAGAAAAUUUAUCGUUAUAAUUUUUUUCUUUUUUUUUUUCAUUCUUGUUAGAUAUGUGAUUAUCACUUGUGUUUUUUGGAGGGGCGUUUAUGUCGCGUUGUUCUUUCAAAUUGUUUUGUAUCUCAGUGUUGUCAUUUGUUUGUGCCUUUACAUGGUCAUUUGUUUGUGCCUUUACAUGGUCGUUUUUUUUGUGCAUUUAUAUUGUCAUUUUUUUGUGCAUUUAUAUUGUCAUUUUUCUUUUCUUCAGUAAAAAGACCACUUUGAAUAUGCGGAUGCAAAAUUGGAACCGAGAUAUCAUAGUAAUUUGUAAACAUAGAUUUUUUUUUUGAUAACCCUAAAAUAUUAUUCUCGGUUUUAAAAGUUAUAUCAGAAGUAAAAACGAAAGGAACAAGCUGAGAAGUAAUUAACAUUUCAAUACUUUGAAAAUUUUUUAUACUUAUAUUGUUAAGUUUCCCAGUCUCUAGUACACAUUCAUCAAAAACCAAAUAAGUGUUAUUUGCCAGUUGUAAUUUUCCUUUUUUUAAUUCACCACUUUCAUAGUCCAUAAUUGAUAUCAAAGAUUCAGAAUUUAAUUUGUUUAAAUAAAAAGGAAUGUGUCUAUAUAAGGAAACUAAAU
rnacentral:lncRNA from 1 species